UACGAGGAGAGCAACCGUUAUCCGGAAUUAUUGGGCGUAAAGCGUGCGCAAGCGGUUUUGUAAGUGAUGUGUUAAAUUCCAAAGCUCAACUUUGGAACUGCGCGUCAUACUGCAAGACUCGAGUCAAGUAGAGGCAAACGGAAUUCCCGGUGUAGUAGUGAAAUGCGUUAAUAUCGGGAGGAACGCCAAAAGCGAAAGCAGUUUGCUGGGCUUGUACUGACGCCGUUGCACGACAGCGUGGGGAUCAAACAGG
rnacentral:rRNA from 1 species